UACGUAGGAGGCGAGCGUUGUCCGGAUUGAUUGGGCGUAAAGGGCGCGCAGGCGGCUUCGCGCGUUGGCCGUGAAAGCUCCUGACUUAUUCAGGAGAGGUCGGUCAAGACGGCGAGGCUUGAGCGUCGGAGAGGGGCAUGGAACUCCAGGUGGAGCGGUGAAAUGCGUAGAUAUCUGGAAGAACACCAAUGGCGAAGGCAGUGCCCUGGCCGACUGCUGACGCUCAGGCGCGAAAGCGUGGGGAG
rnacentral:rRNA from 1 species